ACCAAUAUGAUAAGCUCCUGGAAAAUGUUCCUUGGUUGAGGAAAUGGGGGGAGUGGAUGAAACUUUCAGCGGAGAAAAAUGCAGAUAAGGCCGAUGAACUUGAGGUAGAAAUAAUGAUGAUUCUCAGUCCAUUGCCAGUAGCCGCCCCCACAUACUGCAUCAACAACUAAAGAUUUCAUGAACCAAAGAAAUUAAAUAAACACAAAGUUGAAAGAACUAACUUGUAGCUGCAAACUUUGGUAAAUGAUGUUUGGUAGCUGCAGAUCCAGGGCUUCAAAAAAGAAAGAGAGAAGAAAAGCAUCAAGAGAAAAAUAUGAAUGUCCUGAAGAUCAUAUUUACCUUAUGAAAAUAUGAACAAUUAAAGAACACCAAAAUCCAUAAAUUCAGGGCCAUACCAAAAGAAAAUACAGAGCUGUUUCACUACCAAUCCCAAGAAAAUGUUGCAGUGCCAUUGCAACAAAAUUACCUUAGCUGGUGAAAAGAAAGCUAGUGCAUCUGGGUCAAUAUAACCAGCUGAAUGCAAAUGCAAUGACAGAAUAGGUCUGAAGAUAGAAGGAAACAACAGUUCAAUUGCAGCAGCCUUAUCAGAGGCAACAGCACCUUUUGAUCCUGUUCUUGGUUUAUUUGAAAUAUGAAAAGUAUGCUCGUUUGAUCUUUCAACAGGACUUUCAUUUAUUGAAUUUGGCAGUG
rnacentral:misc_RNA from 1 species